UAGCUGGUGUCAAACUCCACAAGCAAGUUGCUCGCCUGGACAAGAGCAGUCCGAGCUAAGCCAGAAGUGUCCUGUAGGGUUAAGUGAGCCCAGCGCAGACCAGCAGCCCUGGACCUUUGUUUUGGGAAGGACACCUUGUUCCUGGUGCUGCCCGUCAGCUCCCGGGGCACCCAGGUCCUGGAAUCGUGAGAACUUCCAAUGGUUUGGCAAAGYGCUCUGAAUCACUGACGUUCGGCUGCCACCUCCACCCAUGCCUGUCCCUUGCCUGCUCCCUCGCCGGGUGUCAGUUCUCGAGCCUACGUGCUGAGAAGAAAAGUUAAAAAGUUCCACCUCAGAGGGAAAAGCAGCCGAGGGUUUGAGACCCAUCUCUGUGACGUGUCCCGAGGGACCCCACCAAUAUCCAGCUCCAACAAGGCAGACCCACAAAGCCAGAAGACCCGUUAGGACCCGGAGAYGUUUGCACCGGAGCAAAGAGGUUCCUGAGCCUCUUUGGCCGUGCCCCAGCCAUCGGGGAGAGCAGCACAGGCACGGAAUUUCAGAUUGGCCCUUUCUGGAGCUUCACCUUGUGGCCGUGACAAGGGACACGAGUCUUGGUCUUGAUGCAGCUGCAGACUCUGAGGUUGGAUCCCGAGCUCCACCAAGGGCACGUGCAGCCGACCAGGGGAACCCUCCCCUUUAUUCCCA